UACGGGGGGGGCAAGCGUUGUUCGGAAUUACUGGGCGUAAAGGGCUCGUAGGCGGCCCACUAAGUCAGACGUGAAAUCCCUCGGCUUAACCGGGGAACUGCGUCUGAUACUGGAGGGCUUGAGUUCGGGAGAGGGAUGCGGAAUUCCAGGUGUAGCGGUGAAAUGCGUAGAUAUCUGGAGGAACACCGGUGGCGAAGGCGGCAUCCUGGACCGACACUGACGCUGAGGAGCGAAAGCCAGGGGAGCAAACGGG
rnacentral:rRNA from 1 species